UGCCAGCCGCCGCGGUAAUACAGAGGGUGCAAGCGUUGUUCGGAAUUAUUGGGCGUAAAGCGCGUGUAGGCGGUUCGUUAAGUCUGAUGUGAAAGCCCGGGGCUCAACCCCGGAAGUGCCUUCGAUACUGUUAGUCUUGAGGUCGAGAGAGGUGAGUGGAAUUCCGAGUGUAGAGGUGAAAUUCGUAGAUAUUCGGAGGAACACCAGUGGCGAAGGCGGCUCACUGGCUCGAUGCUGACGCUGAGGUACGAAAGUGUGGGGAGCAAACAGGAUUAGAUA
rnacentral:rRNA from 1 species